rnacentral:rRNA from 1 species
AGGUCCCGCCUGCCCAGUGAACAUUUUCAACGGCCGCGGUAUUCUAACCGUGCAAAGGUAGCGUAAUCACUUGUCUUCUAAAUAGAGACCAGUAUGAACGGCUAAAUGAGGACAAAACUGUCUCUUAUAACCAAUCAGUGAAACUGAUCUCCCAGUACAAAAGCUGGGAUUAAUACAUAAGACGAGAAGACCCCGUGGAGCUUAAAAUAAACAACUAACCUACACAAGCACUAGUAUGCUAUUUUGAGUUGGGGCGACUUCGGAAUAAAAUAGAACUUCCGAGCACAGAACCACCACUUCUUACCGAGGCCUACAAGCCCAAGUACAAAAUGACCCGGCAGUGCCGAUCAACGAACCAAGUUACCCCGGGGAUAACAGCGCUAUCUUCUUCAAGAGUCCCUAUCAACAAGAAGGUUUACGACCUCGAUGUUGGAUCAGGACACCCAAAUGGUGCAGCCGCUAUUAAAGGUUCGUUUGUUCAACGAUUAAUGUCCUACGUGAUCU